ensembl:snRNA U6 U6 spliceosomal RNA
GGGUUCACUGGCUUAGGCAGCACAUAUACUAAAAGUGGAAUGAUAAGAAAUGAUUAGCAUGGCCUCUCUGCAAGAAUGAUAUGCAAAUUUGUGAAAUAGUCCAUAUUUAG